rnacentral:rRNA from 1 species
UACAGAGGGUCUCAAGCGUUGUUCGGAUUCAUUGGGCGUAAAGGGUGCGUAGGUGGCGGGGCAAGUUGGAUGUGAAAUCCCGGAGCUUAACUCCGGAACUGCAUCAAUACUGCCUUGCUAGAGUACUGGAGAGGAGAUUGGAAUUUACGGUGUAGCAGUGAAAUGCGUAGAUAUCGUAAGGAAGACCAGUGGCGAAGGCGGAUCUCUGGACAGUUACUGACACUGAGGCACGAAGGCCAGGGGAGCAAACGGG